rnacentral:rRNA from 1 species
UACGGAGGAUGCGAGCGUUAUCCGGAUUUAUUGGGUUUAAAGGGUGCGCAGGCGGAUUUUUAAGUCAGCGGUCAAAUCGUGGGGCUCAACCCCAUCCAGCCGUUGAAACUGGGGAUCUAGAGUGUGCGAGAGGUAUGCGGAAUGCGUGGUGUAGCGGUGAAAUGCAUAGGUAUCACGCAGAACCCCGAUUGCGAAGGCAGCAUACCGGUGCACAACUGACGCUCAGGCACGAAAGCGUGGGUAUCGAACAGG